UGAGCAGGAGACUUAAAGAGCCGCGGUUAUUUUGACCGUGCAAAGGUAGCAUAAUCAUUAGUUCUUUAAUUGGGAACUUGUAUGAAUGGUUAAACAAAAGAAAUACUGUCUCUAUUUCUAAAAUUUGAUUUAACUUUUAGUGAAAGGCUUAAAUUGCUCAAGGGGACGAUAAGACCCUAUAAAGCUUUAUAAAUAACUAGGGAUUUUUUGGGUUAUAAAGAUAAAAAAGAAUGCUAGAAGUUUAUUAUGUUGGGGCGACACGGAUAUAGAUUAAAGCAACUAUCAGGAAAAACACAAUAAUUUUUGAAUUUUAUGAUCCUAAUUAAAGAUUAUAAGACUAAGUUACUUUAGGGAUAACAGCGUAAUUUCUUUUUGAGAGUUCAUAUCGAAAAAAGAGUUUGCGACCUCGAUGUUGAAUCAUUAAAUCUUUAUAGUGCAGCAGUAUAAAAGAGGGUCUGUUCGACCUUUAAAAUUUUACGUGAUUUGAGUUCAAACC
rnacentral:rRNA from 1 species